AAAUGAAAUGGUAGAAUGACAGUUACAAUGUCACGAUAGCAAUCACCUCUGAUUGGUUGACGCUCGCCCACUAUUGGACUUAUUGCAUUGUUGCAACAAUAAUAGCAUAAAUUUAGCCAAUAACAAUAAUUGCGAUUGUAAUGAUGAUUGAUGCAGCUUUUACGG